rnacentral:lncRNA from 1 species
CAAAAUGGAAAUUAGUUCAUAUAUAAAGCAAAAUCCAUCACAAGAGAUUGUUCAUACAUUGGAAGGCAAAAUGAAAAGAAAGAGAAACAAGAGAUUGAAAUAUGCAAAUCUAAAAUCUUCUUCUCAAAUCUGGACAUCCAUUGUUGAAUCCAAGCUCCAAUGUUCCCAAAUUCAGCCCUAAUCUAAGCUAAAUAUCAAAAUCUACUAUAGAAACUAAGAGAUAAGCUUAGAUAUAGAAAAAGAGGCUACAAGCUCUCUUUGUGUUUCCCUAACCCUAAAAAGGAAAUAAAAACGAUCUUAUGAUGUCUCUAACUUGCAAGCACCCACUCUUUAAGUAAGAAAUCCAUUUGGCUUUUUAAAUGAAAAGUCAAACUGCUGGUCAAGCCGAACAGGCACGGCUGCGCUAGUCAUUAGUGCAGAAAGGGCACGAGAGCGUUGCUUGCUGUGUUUACCUGGGUCAGGCGCUGUACUGCUGCCUCGUAGUGCUUUUAAGCCGCUGCCGCGCUGAUUGCUGAAUUUACUGAAUUGAUGCUGCUGCUGCAUUCUUCUUUAACACUCCUAUAUGCCAUCUCCAAUUACUCCCCAUAACAUACACUUUGCUCCUAUUUGAACCGGCUUCAUAACCAUUUGAAUCACAAUGCUACCAGGCUAGCUUCCAAAAAUGCUUUCUACACAAUAGAGAUAAAAUGCAUAAAAAGAUACUAAAACACCCGAGAUUAAGCAUCAGUUUCUGGCAAGUAAAUAUCCAAUAAAUAGGUAUAACACCUACUUAUCAUGGUGCAGAAGCAGGUAGAGUGCAUCCUUGGACAAUUGUUUAUGAAGUCUGUUUCUUCCUUACAAGUGUUGGAGUUUUCAUCUAAUUUUCAGUACACAACAACAAAUGUAUAUACUUAUAAUGACCUCCACUACGAAUAUAAGUAGUUACCAUUAAUAAAAUUAAUACAGUUUUUGAAUGACUGAAAAUAUAAUUACAAAUAUAUAUUUUUCCUUUUCCUUUCCAUAGUCAACCACUUUGUCUUUUCCCUUGGCAGUGUCAAAUACAUUGUCUUUUCCCUUUCCAAUGUCACUAGCCUAUAAAAAAAAUAGUUAAUUAGAAAUAGAGUUAAUAAGUCAUAAAUUAUAUUUACUCGUGCAUAUAUUUAGAAAAACUUACCCCCUAAACCAUCUUUUUAUGUUCCCUUAGAAGUGUUAAUGACCUUCUCUUUGCCCUUUCUGUGUCCAGGCAGAGUCGGCUGCUUUGGACAUUUGACUCGGUUGUGACCCUCUCCCUUGCAUAUAAUGCAAUGAAUCUUCCUCCUUUUCCUUGACACCCUAGUCACUUUGUUGCUACUUGCCACAUUUUCCCACUACUUCUUCCUUUUUAAUCUUUGAGGCCUACUUUUUCUUCAUUGGUGAUGGCAGCACGAUAUCACACUCAAUAAAAUCCAAAAAGUAUUCCCCAUUUAGUACUUCUAGUGUGUGAGAAUAAGUCUUAAUAUAAGUAUCCCUAGUGAACCAGUGAGCUACAUACUGUAGAGGGUUUCCAUUGAUGGAAUGAAUGAAUCUAACUAAAUUAGAAAAAAGGAUUCCUGUUAAAUCCCACACCCUACACGCACAACUUCUCUGCUCUAGGUUUACAUUAUGCCCUCUUUUUCCUCUUUCCUUCACUUGGAACUUUGAUUAUCCAUCCCAUAGAGAUUUAAAGUGUGCAGAGUCUAAAACAUAUGCAUCUAAUUUCUUUUUAAUCCUCGGGUAUAUUAACUCUUCAGUCUUUAGUAUUGCAUCUCCUCACCAUUAUUUGAUCAUGAAUUUUAGCUAUCAUUUGAAGAACUGACAUAUAUUUUGCCGUAAUUAUCCAUGCAUUAAAGUACUCUAACAUGUUGUUUUCUACACUGUCAGUUUUUGAAUGAGUUUCAAAGAAUGCUUUAGAACACACCUUAGGAUCUUGCUAUGUCAACUUGUCAUGUGCAGGAGUAGACAACCUUUUUACCUCCCUCAUUGCCCUUUUAUAAGCUACAUGGUGUGUAGCCAUGGAUGCCUCUUAGAAUGCUACUUUUAGUGCUUGUGAAGGAUAUUUCUUUCUCCAAUUUGCAUAGAUGUGCCUUGCAUAGUUUCUAUGCUCUGCGUGAGGAAAAAGGUCUUGAAUAGCUGCUUUCAGUCCCUGCAAUACACAUAAGUUUGCUAACAAAUGCCAACAGCAACACAAAAUAUAGCUCCCCCAAAUCUAGGUCCCUUGAACCUCGGACCUGGUGCGCCACGAUACAUUCUUUUCAUACCUGUUCUAUAACUAUUGCAAAAUAUUCAUACAUACUUUGUUCAAUUUCAAAUAAUUCUACAUCAUUUCCCAAGGUUUCUAACCUUAACUUGCAUACAUACCUUUAGAUUCACAAAAAGGUUUAUAUAAAUAACUUACAUCAGACAACUAAAUAGUUAACAUGCAUAACACUAUAAUCUUGUCCUUUACUUUUCUCUCUGUCUUUCCUUGAACAUUCGUCUUAAUAUGAAAUUUGUUAUCAUGAUAUAUCAAGAGUGAACAACUACUUUGCUCAGCAAGUUUAAAUACAAUGAAGAUAUAUCAUGAUUGAAAAGGAAUAAGCUGUCAAGUUUUCAACAAUGUAUAAUAAUUGUGAAAGAGCAUGAAUCAAUUUCAAUAAUUGAAUGACGGGUUAAAUACACUUUUUCCCACUCUACUCGAUCUCGGUUUACAAAUACAUCACUGAACUGAAUUUUUUUACGGUCAACUCAUUGAACUAUAAUUUUUUUACAAAAAUUUUAAAAAUCAUCUAUUCUGUUAAAAACUUAACAGGAAGUCUACAUGACACUAUAUGAUCAUGCUUAUGUGCAAAUAUAAGACCCACUUGGAUUAUUUUUUUUAAUAAUAAUAACAAAACAGUUUUCAAACUUGCACUCUCUUUUUUUUUAAAUAAAAAAUAAUUAAAUUAAUUAACUGAAAUAAUAAUAAAAUAUAUUAAUUAAAUAAAUUAAUAAUAAAUAUAUUAAUAUAUAAUUUUAACAAAUGUAAUUAUAUAAAUUGAUGAAUUCAUAUUAUUUUUUUAUUUUUUAAAUAUUUUAGUUCAUUUUAAAAAUAUAAAAUUAUCUAAUAUUUUGAAAUAAAAGAUUAUUAUUAUAAUAUUUAAAAAUAAAUUUCUACCAAAAUAAUCAUUAUAUUUUACAAAACAAAUUAAUUUAAAAUUUUAAAACAAGUUAUGAAUGAUAUUUAAAACUAAAUUACUACCAAAAUUAGAAAGAAAUUAAAAUCAAACUAAAAGAAAAAAAAUUAAAGAACAUAUUAUCCGAUCAUAUCAAAACACAUGAAGGUAAGAGAAACGAAAUCAUUCAAAACACCCAGAUAAGAACUAAUAAAGCCAAUUCACCAUAAUAAUUGAAAUCAAAUCAUAACACAAAAGAAACAACCCAAAUCAGAAAUUAAAUGCACAAAUAUCUGCUCCAUAUCAGAACACCCAGAUCGGAACACACUACCGAACACAACCAGAUCGGAACAAACUACCGAACUCAACCAGAUCUGCUCCAUAUCAUUGAUGUUUUGUUCGAUUGAAGAAGAAAAAGAAGCUUUCGGUGGCGGCAUAAUUUAUUUUUGUUAAUGUAUUUUGUUGCCAGAUUUUUUCAUUAUAUUUUUUCUCUUUCCUACUCGAACGCCAUUGAUGAACUCAAUGCUUUGAGGAGUGGAUUUUAGAAGAAUGAUUUGAAGAACAGAUCAAAUGGAGAGGCUUUUUUUAAUUAGGACUAUUCAGAUCUAGAUUUGUUCAGAUCUAGAUAUAGACUUUUGAUUUUCACCGAUUUCUCCAGUGAUUAUUUUUCUCCUCUGUUUUGAUCCUCUAUUUUGAAGAAACUGAUUUCGGCUCCUGCAACUAAUAACAUGAUCCUCUGUUUUGAAUAAUAAAAAAUAUAUAAAUUCAUUAAUUUUAUAUAAAUAUAUUUGUAAAAAUUACACAUUAAUAUAUUUUAUUAUUAAUUACUUUAAUUAAUAUAUUUUAUUUAAUUACUUUACUUAUUUGUUAAUAUAUUUUUAAUUAAUUUAAUUAUUUGUUAAUAUAUUUAAUAUUUAAUAUUUAUUUAAUGAUUUUAUAAUAUAAAUAAUAAUUAUAUUAGUUUUCAAAAAUAAAAUAAUAAUUAAUUUUCAAAAUUUUAGUUAUAUUUUUGAAGUUUGAAUUUAUUUUUAUAAAUUUGAAUUUUAAAUUUGUGCUUAUUAUAAAAUACUUAUGAAUAAUGUUAAAGACAUUACUCAAAUUCAAAAUUUACCCAAAAUUUUCUUAUUUUAAUAAUAUAUGUAAUAUAUCUUAAUACAAUAACAUGUCAGACAUUUAUAUGUUAUAUUACUAAUUUUAGUUUUUUCUGAAGAGAGGUUAAUUAAAUUAAUGAAUUUAAUGAGUUAUUUAAAUUAAAAGAAAAUUAUAUAAUUAUAUGUAAUUUAUAUAAUUUAUUUAAAAUUGAACAAAUAUUAAUGAUUAAAAUAAAUUUAAAAAAUUAUUUUUAUUGUACUUUUAUUUUGAAUGCAUUAUUUUAUUUUAUUUAUUUGAUUUUAGAUUAAUUUAGCAAUAAUUUAUACAAGUUUCCAUCUAGGCAUGCCACAAAGAAAAAUAUCUGACAUGUAGGAUUUCUCUCUCUUAUGUGGCAACUCAUAUAAUUUUUCCGUCCAAAGUUAAACAAUUUAACGAAAUUUGUAACGGUUUGUAAAAAAAUUGUAGUUUAGUGAGUCAAAUGAAAAAAAAUUCAGUUCAAUGAUUCAUUUGUAAACCGAGGUCGAGUAGAGUAAGGAAAAGUGUAUUUAACCCAUUGAAUGACUGAAUCAAUAAUGAUAGGUGGUCAACAAUGACCAUGAAUAGAUUUAACUGAACCUUAUGGUAAUGAAGGUGAUCAGCCUUUCAUACCUGAUGAACAUAUGCAAUUUGCACUAAGUGAGAAUAACAAUAAUCAUAGACGUGAAAUAAUUUUCAACAAUUAAACCACUAGCAUGCUUGAAACAUAAUAACUCAAGUUUGAGUUAGGAAAACUUGUCUGUACCGUUGAUUACUGCUACGCAAUCUAAUUUAACCUCUUAUGAAAGACAUAUCAGUUAUAAGAUUGAUCUGUCAAUUAACAUAACAUACUUUUUCUGAGAAUACUAUUACUUGAAUAAUAAAUUAGCUAACAUUUAGCCACAUAAUCAAAUAUUGAAUAAUUCUUUAACUCACUUGUAAUAUUAUCAUACCUCAAUAAUAUUACUAUCAUUAAAUCACUUAAUAUUUCAUUUAAUAAAGUCUUCAUCAUUGUCUAAUAUUAUUAAUCACUUAAUAAUAUUUAAUUUACUUCUCAAUAUCAUUUAAUAGUAUCUUCAUCACUUACAAAUAUUAUUAGUCCUUCAAUAAUAUUUGAUUCACUUAAUAAUCUUAAUGAUUUACAAAUAUUUUUAAUCAUUUAAUAAUAUUUCAAGCACCUUCAAAUAUUAGUAAUUAUUUAAUAAUAUUCAAAAUCAUUUACUAAUAUUAUUAAUCAUUUAAUAAUAUUUUAAUCAUUGUCUAAUAUUAUUAAUCGUUUAAUAAUAUCUUAAUCAUUUAUAAAUAUUAUUAAUCAUUUAAUAAUAUUUAAAUCACUUCUCAAUAUUAUUAAUUAUUUAAUAAUAUUUUAUUCACUUUCUAAUAUUAUUAAUUAUUUAAUAAUAUUUUAAUCAAUUACUAAUAUUAUUAAUCAUUUAAUAAUAUUUUAAUCACUUUAUUAAUAUAAAUAAUAAAAGACUCACACAUUUCAAAAUAUAAAUAUUUUACAUCUUGAAGCUUAAACCAUUUAUAUUCCAUUUCAAAAAUAUCUUUUACCUUUACUCGCAAAUUCGAGGUUUAAACAUCUAAUACAUAGCUCCUAUAGUAAGAAUCAUUUUACUAUAUUAUUUCUUUAAGUUAAAUAAUUUUUAUAUCAUUUUGUCUGUUCAUGAGUCAACAUGAACCAUUGCCUCAUAUAUAAAUAUUUUAUUCUGCGAGCACAUUCGCUUUAUUUUUCGUUUUUCGAAUAUUCGCAUUUUCACUUUAUAUAUAUAUAUAUAUAUAUAUAUAUAUAUAUAUAUAUAUAUAUAUACUCCGUUACAUAAAUCUCAGCUCAAAAACCUCAUUUUUAACCCCCGAAAACCUCAAAAUAUCAUUUUUAUGAUUAAUACAAAUUUUUAAAGGUUUCACAUUCUUCGUUGCAGCACAAAAUAAUUUUAUAAACAACUAGAGUUUUUAUUUCUCUUAACUAUGUAAUUUAUAUUUAUUACAUAUUUUUAUUGCUUUAUUUAUGUCCGAAAGGAAGUUUUAUGGCAUAAAAUAUUUAUUACAGUCAAAACUUGCCCAGUGGGACUUUAUCAGAAUUAUUAUGACUCAUUAUUUCGCCAGAACGCGAUUCGGAAUGUCGAACUUCAGAAUCGCUCGACGCAUCGACGCUCGGCGUUGCCCGUUUUUUAAGUUCUGAUAUGCUCCUUCGCUCAUUUUUAAUUCUCAAAUCAUUAAUCUAAUAACAAAGAAAUUUUUGGCAAUUUAUAGACCUCAUGUCAUAAUAUUUUAUUAAAAAAUUUCACAUAGCGAAAACAGAUCAAAACAGAUCACGAAAGCUCGUCAAAACAGUGUGUCAAAAUCCCCCGCAAGCAGCCUGCAUAGUAGGCACUGACGGCUCCAGCAGGUGCUGGGCAUGCCUGGCCUUGAUGCUGCACGGCUGGAGCUGCCCAGCUGCAAUUGCGCAUAGCGAAACAGCUACUUUGCGAUUUUCGUACUCGUUACUCGUAACUUCGAUUAAUCUAAUUUUUGGAUAUGUUAUACAUGGCAUACCAAAAUAUUUUUAAAAAAUAUGAAACCCCAUUUCGGGUUUAUUAAGCAGUCCAAUAAAUUCGCCAAAAGUGAAGUUCAUAACGGUUUUCAUCUUUUUGUCAGAUUUACCAUCUCUCGCUAAAACAGUCAUAACUUUCUGGUUUCAAAAUAUUUUUGAGCGAUUCUUGAGCCCACAUGAAGUUAACUUCCAUGUCUACAACUUUUACCUACUGACUUUUUUCUAGAUUCCCUGCAAAUCAUCCUAGAAAUUUCGUGCAAGGUGACUGCACCACAUUUGUUUUCCAGUUUUGACUUGGCUACUUUAAAAUAGCAUAACUCUUUGCUCCGAAGUUGGAUUUAGUCCGUUCUAGAGUCUAUGAAAAGCUUAUUCAGUGUACUACAACAUACCAAAAGCCCAGAAUUUUCUGGAACAUCUAACUAAUCUCGAAUUUCCCUUUUAGGUUCAGCAGUCCACUAAUUUUCUUAAGCUUUAAAAACUGUUUUAAUUUUCUUUCCUUUGAUCCAACUUGUUAUAAUCCAAAUGGUUAGAUCUAAACAUAAUACACCAUAAAACAUGUAGAUCUAAAAUUUUGAAGUUCAAGAAACAUAGCUUUAUAUUUUGUAACUCAAUCAAAAUAAUAAAACAAAAAGGUCAAAGGUAGGUUGUUUAUACCUUGAUUUCUUAGAUUCACCUCUUCUCCUUCUUUCAAGGUAGGAUAGGAUAUGGAACUUGAAAAUACACCAAACUUCCUUUCUUCUUCUCCCUCUAUGUGGCUGUUGAAGCCCUCUUGCUUCUCUCUCUCUUCUUUUUUUAAGCUUUUUAGGAAAUGAGAAGUAACUAACUAAGUCACAUGUUCUAAGCUCUCCUCUCUUUGCCGUGUACACACACCCCCAAAUUUGGUUUUAUUUCCUUAGCUUUCUCUCUCUCCAAUAUCUUGCCAAUCUAGGGCAAAAAAUGUGGCUAGUCUUCAAGGAUGACACUUGGCUCGAGUGUGAAAUGCAACUUUAAAAAAAAUUCCCACACAUGUGCAGAUCUCCCUUGUAUACCCAGUGCAUGCAUCUAAUUUGGCCCCACUUUUGAUUUUAUUUUAUUUGCCCAAUUUGCUUAGUUAAAUAAUUAAAAUCAAUUAUUUCUUUAAUGCUUUUGUUAAGUAAUUUAAUUAUCCAAUCUUAAUAACUUAAUUUAAUCAAAUAAGUUACUACCUAAAUAUCCUUAAACUAUUUUACCCUCAUGGAAUCA